rnacentral:lncRNA from 1 species
CUAAUAGGCUGUAUAAUUGGACGUCAGGGCACCAAAAUUAAUGAAAUCCGUCAGAUGUCUGGGGCUCAGAUCAAAAUUGCUAAUGCCAUGGAGGGGUCAUCAGACCGCCAGAUCACCAUUACUGGAACACCUGCCAACAUCAGCCUGGCACAGUAUCUUAUAAACGCCAGGUUCAGAGAUGUGGCAGCCAUGUGGACGGACCCUUCAACCAUGACCACCUCCUGAAGUCACAUUAUGCUCUAUUUAUCGAAGAUGUUCUGCUCUCUCUUUGAACUAUUUGGGCCUCAUCAAUUCUCUUGAUCUGGGAUAUAGUCUGAAGAUUGUUUCUCAGGAUUACUGAAUCGCAUUUACUGUAAUUCACCCGAUUAAAAUCAAUCAUUCCAUCACAAAACAAACAAAUCUCUGUGCAUAUACUGUAUUUACUAUUGUCUGCAUUGAAAUUAUUCUAAUAAGCAUUAUUUAGGCAGU